rnacentral:rRNA from 1 species
UACGGAGGGGGCUAGCGUUGUUCGGAAUUACUGGGCGUAAAGCGCACGUAGGCGGCCUUGUAAGUUAGAGGUGAAAGCCCGGAGCUCAACUCCGGAAUUGCCUUUAAGACUGCAUCGCUAGAAUUGUGGAGAGGUAAGUGGAAUUCCGAGUGUAGAGGUGAAAUUCGUAGAUAUUCGGAAGAACACCAGUGGCGAAGGCGACUUACUGGACACAUAUUGACGCUGAGGUGCGAAAGCGUGGGGAGCAAACAGG